GCUAAGGGGGCGGGUGUUCAGUUUGGGAGGCAUCCGCAUUGGGCCAUGAUGAGUGAGAAGUCACGUGAUCACAGGUGAAUGCCCAUACUAACUACCCAAAGCAAUCUCUAGAUUCGGUGCGGUCCCUAUCAAAAUCCCACAGCGCUUUUCACAGAAAUACAACAAACAGUUCUAAAAUCUGCAUGCCGUCACCACGACACAGAGCAGCCCUAGCAAUCUGGGGAAGGAACAACGCCUUGGCAUCACCUACCUGACUGUAAGUAUUUCACAAAGCUAUAGUGCUCAAAACAGGAUGGCCUUGGUGAAACACACGUAGGUCCAUGGAACAGAGCAGAAAUAAGCCCCGGCACAUAUGGGCAAUUAACUUAUGACAAAGGAGGGGCACCUGGGUGGCUCAGUCGGUUAAGCCUCUGAUUUCAGCUCAGGUCAGAUCUCACGUUCGUGGGUUCGAGCCCUGCAUCAGGCUCUGUGCUGACAGCUAGCUCAGAGCUUGGAGCCUGCUUCGGAGUCUGUGUCUCCCUCUCUUUCUACCCCUUUCCUGCUUGCACUCUGUCUCUCUCUCUCUCUCAAAAAUAAAUAAACAUUAAAAAAGUUGGACGCUUAGCCGUAUGAGCCACCAGGCACCCCUGCUUUAGCUGCCUUGUAAUUAAAUCACUGCGUGUCUGUUGAGGACUAAUUCUGUGCUGGUGUGUGGCAGUUUCAGGGGCUGCAAAGAUAAGCGAGACACGAAGGAGGGGGAGACACAUGGGCACACAGCGUCAGGUGCUCCAGUGGUUGGUGCUGACGCCAGACCACCGUCCCGCCGCGCCGCCGUUCUGGCCUGUAAGGCCUUCCUGGCAGCCUGCCCCGGGGGCCCAGCGCGGCGUGGGGCACCGUGGGAGCAGCGGGACACAGCGGGAAACACGAGGACCGCUCGGGCUUUGAAUC
rnacentral:lncRNA from 1 species